GCCCCCUUAGCUCAGUUGGUAGAGCGCAGCACUCGUAUAAGACAUGGUAUGCUGAGGUCAGUCGUUCGACUCGGCUAGUGGGCA